GAGAGAGAGAGAGAGAGGGAUGUCCAUGGGGGAUGGUGGGGGAGGGCAAUCCAUUGACAUUGAUGGUGACGAGGAGUUGUUAUUAUUGGAGAUUUGGAGUUGGAGGUGGCCAUAUGGGUGCCUAGUUGAAGAAAGGAGUAAGAGAGCAAGGGAGAUAGAGAGGGAGGUUUGGGCUCUUGGAGGUGAGGUUAGAGGCAAGGUUGGGGCUCGCUCUAUAGAGAAAGAGAUGCGGAGAGAGACGAGUGGCGAGGAGGAAGGAGCUUCCAUUGAUGCUUUCGAUUAGUAAGGAUUGGUGAAACAUCGUAACUAAGUUGGUUUGAGGCCUGGGCUCGAGCUUUGGAUUGGUUUCGUGCUAGGCUUGGGCUGCUCUAAAUGAACCUCAAACC
rnacentral:lncRNA from 1 species